AGGGUUCGAUUCUGGCUCAGGAUGAACGCUAGCUACAGGCUUAACACAUGCAAGUCGAGGGGUAGCAGGGUAGCAAUACCGCUGACGACCGGCGCACGGGUGAGUAACACGUAUCCAACCUUCCCAUAACUCAGGGAUAGCCUUUCGAAAGAAAGAUUAAUACCUGAUAGUACUUUUUCAAGGCAUCUUGAAAAAGUUAAAGAUUUAUUGGUUAUGGAUGGGGAUGCGUUCCAUUAGAUAGUUGGUGAGGUAACGGCUCACCAAGGUCUUCGAUGGAUAGGGGUUCUGAGAGGAAGGUCCCCCACAUUGGUACUGAGACACGGACCAAACUCCUACGGGGAGGCAGCAGUGAGGAAUAUUGGUCAAUGGGCGAGAGCCUGAACCAGCCAAGUAGCGUGAAGGAUGAAAAGGGUCCUAUGGAUUGUAAACUUCUUUUAUAGUAGAAUAAAGUGAUCCACGUGUGGAUUUUUGUAUGUAUACUAUGAAUAAGGAUCGGCUAACUCCGUGCCAGCAGCAGC
rnacentral:rRNA from 1 species